rnacentral:rRNA from 1 species
AUAUAUCUAAGGUUUCCAGAGUAAAGCUGAUCUGCUCUGGGUAAGUCGGGGCCUAAGGCGAGGUCGAAAGACGUAGUCGAUGGAUAACAGGUUGAGAUUCCUGUACUUCAUGAUAUCAGAAAUGUGGGGACACAGAAGCGAAGCACAAGCCGGGAAUGGAAAGACCGGUGCAAGCUAAGGAGCAGUAUGAGAGGCAAAUCCCUCAUAUAAUGCGAGAGAGUGAAGCGUAGCGAACAUAAGGGUAGCGAAGUGUGUAGAGAGGCUGUCAGGAAAAGCCGCUAUUGUGUAUCAUGAACCCGUACCGUAAACCGACACAGGCGGAUGAGGAGAGAAUCCUAAGGCCGACGGAAGAAGCAUUGUUAAGGAAUUCGGCAAAAUGACCCCGUAACUUCGGGAGAAGGGGUGCCUGCGCAAGCAGGUCGCAGAGAAUUGGCCCAAGCAACUGUUUAGCAAAAACACAGGUUUAUGCGAAACCGAAAGGUGAAGUAUAUGAGCUGACGCCUGCCCGGUGCUGGAAGGUUAAGGGGAGUGCUUAGACUUUAGUCGAAGGUGCGAACUUAAGCCCCAGUAAACGGCGGCCGUAACAAUAACGGUCCUAAGGUAGCGAAAUUCCUUGUCGGGUAAGUUCCGACCCGCACGAAAGGCGUAAUGAUUUGGGCGCUGUCUCGACAAUGCAUCCGGUGAAAUUGAAGUACCAGUGAAGAUGCUGGUUACCCGCGCCAGGACGGAAAGACCCCAUGGAGCUUUACUCUAGUUUGAUGCUGGGAUUCGAUACUGCAUGUACAGGAUAGGCGGGAGACUGAGAAGUAGUGACGUCAGUUGCUACAGAGUCGCUGUUGGGAUACCGCCCCUGCAGUAUUGGGUUUCUAACCUGCGGCCGUAAGCCGGUCGGGGGACAACGUCAGGCGGGGAGUUUGACUGGGGCGGUCGCCUCCGAAAGGGUAUCGGAGGCGCUCAAAGGUUCCCUCAGAAUGGUCGGAAACCAUUCGAAGAGUGCAAAGGCAGAAGGGAGCUUGACUGCGAGACCGACGGGUCGAGCAGGUACGAAAGUAGGACUUAGUGAUCCGGUGGUAUGAAAGUGGGAUUGCCAUCGCUCAACGGAUAAAAGCUACCCUUGGGAUAACAGGCUUAUCACUCCCAAGAGUUCACAUCGACGGAGUGGUUUGGCACCUGAUGUCGGCUCAUCGCAUCCUGGGGCAGUAGCAGGUCCCAAGGGUUGGGCUGUUCGCCCAUUAAAGCGGUACGCGAGCUGGGUUCAGAACGUCGUGAGACAGUUCGGUCCCUAUCCGGCGCGGGCGUAGGAUAUCUGAAAGGAGCUGGCUUUAGUACGAGAGGACCGGGCUGGACGAACCGCUGGUUUACCUGUUGUCAUACCAAUGGCAUAGCAGGGUAGCCAAGUUUGGAAGGGAUAAACGCUGAAGGCAUCUAAGCGUGAAGCCCCCCUUAAGAUAAGAUAUCCCUGGAGUAAUCCAGUAAGACCCCUUGAAGACGACGAGGUAGAUAGGGCAGAGGUGGAAGUGUGGUAACACAUGCAGCUGACUGUCACUAAUAGGUCGAGGGCUUGACC